AACGAACGCUGGCGGCAGGCUUAACACAUGCAAGUCGAACGGGUGUAGCAAUACAUCAGUGGCAGACGGGUGAGUAACACGUGGGAACCUUCCUAGGGGUACGGAACAACUCAGGGAAACUUGAGCUAAUACCGUAUACGUCCGUGAGGAGAAAGAUUUAUCGCCCUUAGACGGGCCCGCGUCGGAUUAGCUAGUUGGUGGGGUAACGGCCUACCAAGGCGACGAUCCGUAGCUGAUCUUAGAGGAUGAUCAGCCACACUGGGACUGAGACACGGCCCAGACUCCUACGGGAGGCAGCAGUGGGGGAUCUGGGACAAUGGGCGCAAGCCUGAUCCAGCCAUGCCGCGUGAGUGAAGAAGGUCUUCGGAUUGUAAAGCUCUUUUGCCAGGGACGAUAAUGACGGUACCUGGAGAAUAAGCCCCGGCAAACUUCGUGCCAGCCGCCGCCGUAA
rnacentral:rRNA from 1 species